rnacentral:sRNA from 1 species
AGUUGCUCAUUCAACAUUAUUAUGUCGGUCCACAUUAGGGUGGGAACAUACCACAUAAAGCAAGAAUGAUGCCAAAGUAAGGUGCCUACCGUCCAACAGCACAGAUAUUCGCUUUCGAGCCUUAUCAAACACAGGGCGACACGUGGAGUGAGGCACCACCU